CCCUAGCCCAGAUGGUAGCGGCAUCCUUUUUGUUUUUCGAGCAUUUCUUUUACAAUGAAAUAACGAAUUGUUUUUAGAAUUCGAUAAAAACAAAAAGAUAUAGCGAACAGCUGGAAAAAGC
rnacentral:sRNA from 1 species